UCUGGAAAGGCGUGCGAUACAGGGUGACAGCCCCGUACACAAAAAUGCACAUACUGUGAGCUCGAUGAGUAGGGCGGGACACGUGGUAUCCUGUCUGAAUAUGGGGGGACCAUCCUCCAAGGCUAAAUACUCCUGACUGACCGAUAGUGAACCAGUACCGUGAGGGAAAGGCGAAAAGAACCCCGGCGAGGGGAGUGAAAAAGAACCUGAAACCGUGUACGUACAAGCAGUGGGAGCACGCUUAGGCGUGUGACUGCGUACCUUUUGUAUAAUGGGUCAGCGACUUAUAUUCUGUAGCAAGGUUAACCGAAUAGGGGAGCCGAAGGGAAACCGAGUCUUAACUGGGCGUUAAGUUGCAGGGUAUAGACCCGAAACCCGGUGAUCUAGCCAUGGGCAGGUUGAAGGUUGGGUAACACUAACUGGAGGACCGAACCGACUAAUGUUGAAAAAUUAGCGGAUGACUUGUGGCUGGGGGUGAAAGGCCAAUCAAACCGGGAGAUAGCUGGUUCUCCCCGAAAGCUAUUUAGGUAGCGCCUCGUGAAUUCAUCUCCGGGGGUAGAGCACUGUUUCGGCAAGGGGGUCAUCCCGACUUACCAACCCGAUGCAAACUGCGAAUACCGGAGAAUGUUAUCACGGGAGACACACGGCGGGUGCUAACGUCCGUCGUGAAGAGGGAAACAACCCAGACCGCCAGCUAAGGUCCCAAAGUCAUGGUUAAGUGGGAAACGAUGUGGGAAGGCCCAGACAGCCAGGAUGUUGGCUUAGAAGCAGCCAUCAUUUAAAGAAAGCGUAAUAGCUCACUGGUCGAGUCGGCCUGCGCGGAAGAUGUAACGGGGCUAAACCAUGCACCGAAGCUGCGGCAGCGACGCUUAUGCGUUGUUGGGUAGGGGAGCGUUCUGUAAGCCUGUGAAGGUGUGCUGUGAGGUAUGCUGGAGGUAUCAGAAGUGCGAAUGCUGACAUAAGUAACGAUAAAGCGGGUGAAAAGCCCGCUCGCCGGAAGACCAAGGGUUCCUGUCCAACGUUAAUCGGGGCAGGGUGAGUCGACCCCUAAGGCGAGGCCGAAAGGCGUAGUCGAUGGGAAACAGGUUAAUAUUCCUGUACUUGGUGUUACUGCGAAGGGGGGACGGAGAAGGCUAUGUUGGCCGGGCGACGGUUGUCCCGGUUUAAGCGUGUAGGCUGGUUUUCCAGGCAAAUCCGGAAAAUCAAGGCCGAGGCGUGAUGACGAGGCACUACGGUGCUGAAGCAACAAAUGCCCUGCUUCCAGGAAAAGCCUCUAAGCAUCAGGUAACAUCAAAUCGUACCCCAAACCGACACAGGUGGUCAGGUAGAGAAUACCAAGGCGCUUGAGAGAACUCGGGUGAAGGAACUAGGCAAAAUGGUGCCGUAACUUCGGGAGAAGGCACGCUGAUACGUAGGUGAAGCGACUUGCUCGUGGAGCUGAAAUCAGUCGAAGAUACCAGCUGGCUGCAACUGUUUAUUAAAAACACAGCACUGUGCAAACACGAAAGUGGACGUAUACGGUGUGACGCCUGCCCGGUGCCGGAAGGUUAAUUGAUGGGGUUAGCGCAAGCGAAGCUCUUGAUCGAAGCCCCGGUAAACGGCGGCCGUAACUAUAACGGUCCUAAGGUAGCGAAAUUCCUUGUCGGGUAAGUUCCGACCUGCACGAAUGGCGUAAUGAUGGCCAGGCUGUCUCCACCCGAGACUCAGUGAAAUUGAACUCGCUGUGAAGAUGCAGUGUACCCGCGGCAAGACGGAAAGACCCCGUGAACCUUUACUAUAGCUUGACACUGAACAUUGAGCCUUGAUGUGUAGGAUAGGUGGGAGGCUUUGAAGUGUGGACGCCAGUCUGCAUGGAGCCGACCUUGAAAUACCACCCUUUAAUGUUUGAUGUUCUAACGUGGACCCGUGAUCCGGGUUGCGGACAGUGUCUGGUGGGUAGUUUGACUGGGGCGGUCUCCUCCUAAAGAGUAACGGAGGAGCACGAAGGUUGGCUAAUCCUGGUCGGACAUCAGGAGGUUAGUGCAAUGGCAUAAGCCAGCUUGACUGCGAGCGUGACGGCGCGAGCAGGUGCGAAAGCAGGUCAUAGUGAUCCGGUGGUUCUGAAUGGAAGGGCCAUCGCUCAACGGAUAAAAGGUACUCCGGGGAUAACAGGCUGAUACCGCCCAAGAGUUCAUAUCGACGGCGGUGUUUGGCACCUCGAUGUCGGCUCAUCACAUCCUGGGGCUGAAGUAGGUCCCAAGGGUAUGGCUGUUCGCCAUUUAAAGUGGUACGCGAGCUGGGUUUAGAACGUCGUGAGACAGUUCGGUCCCUAUCUGCCGUGGGCGCUGGAGAACUGAGGGGGGCUGCUCCUAGUACGAGAGGACCGGAGUGGACGCAUCACUGGUGUUCGGGUUGUCAUGCCAAUGGCACUGCCCGGUAGCUAAAUGCGGAAGAGAUAAGUGCUGAAAGCAUCUAAGCACGAAACUUGCCCCGAGAUGAGUUCUCCCUGACCCUUUAAGGGUCCUGAAGGAACGUUGAAGACGACGACGUUGAUAGGCCGGGUGUGUAAGCGCAGCGAUGCGUUGAGCUAACCGGUACUAAUGAACCGUGAGGCUUAACCUUACAACGCCGAAG
rnacentral:rRNA from 2 species